CGUUCGUAGUUGAACUUGUGCUCCAUACGGGUAGUACACCCAUAAUUUGGGUUUGUACAUUACUCUAUGGUAUGUGAGCGUAUUACCGGUGGAGUUCUUAUAUGUAAUGGUACUUGUAUUAUUUGCAUAUUCCUCCUAUUCAAACCUACUUCAGUGCUCUUCAUCGAGUGUUGUUGUGGGCCGGUACAAUUACUUUGAACAAAUUAGAGUGCUUAAAGCAGGCUUCAAAUGCCUGAAUAUUUGUGCAUGGAAUAAUGGAAUAAGACCUCUGUUCUACUUUCAUUGGUUUAUAGAUCAAGAGGUAAUGAUUAAUAGAAGCAGUUUGGGGGCAUUAGUAUUACGACGCGAGAGGU
rnacentral:rRNA from 1 species